AACGAACGCUGGCGGCAUGCCUAACACAUGCAAGUCGAACGAGACCUUCGGGUCUAGUGGCGCACGGGUGCGUAACGCGUGGGAACCUGCCCUUAGGUUCGGAAUAACUCCCCGAAAGGGGUGCUAAUACCGGAUAAUGUCUUCGGACCAAAGAUUUAUCGCCUUUGGAUGGGCCCGCGUUGGAUUAGCUAGUUGGUAGGGUAAAAGCCUACCAAGGCGACGAUCCAUAGCUGGUCUGAGAGGAUGAUCAGCCACACUGGGACUGAGACACGGCCCAGACUCCUACGGGAGGCAGCAGUGGGGAAUAUUGGACAAUGGGCGAAAGCCUGAUCCAGCAAUGCCGCGUGAGUGAUGAAGGCCUUAGGGUUGUAAAGCUCUUUUACCCGGGACGAUAAUGACAGUACCGGGAGAAUAAGCUCCUGCUAACUCCGUG
rnacentral:rRNA from 1 species